GCAAGGAUGGUAAAGGUGGUGAAUCUCAGUUUCUGAAACCUCCAGAUCCUUCUCCAUGCCCCUGAAGCCUGCUGUUACUUAUUGUAAAAGCUGGGAAUGCAAACUUGUUUGAACAAGGGCAAAACCUGCCAUCAAUAGGAAGGUAAGUCUCCUGGAGAAACAUAACCCACUGCCGGUUCUAGGAGGUCCUCCACCCACUAGGGACGGCCACGGCCACAGCACUGGGUGUCAGGGCUGAGUGAGCCAAGCCCUGGAGGUAGUGGCAGGGCCCUCUGGUCUGAAAUCCUGGGGUGAGAGUGAGGCUGGCCACGCCCACCAGUGAGGGGAGCUUUGACCACACAAUAAGCUUGAGAAGAACUCACUGAGUCUGGGAUGCAAAUUUAUGCAAAAUAGCAGGUGGGCCCAUGAGUCCUGGCACUUUGUUCUUACCACAACAGCAACAUUGUUCUGAUUCCCCACUGGUCUCACAUUUUGCUUCUCCCAUUGCGCGCCCCUCUGCAGGCCUGGGCAGUCCUUCUUGCCUGCCUUCUCUCUGCCCCUCUCUCUCUCCAUUGGUCUGUCCAUCCUCUGCCCACAUUGUACCUUUCUGUCU
rnacentral:lncRNA from 1 species